rnacentral:rRNA from 1 species
UACGAAGGGGGCUAGCGUUGUUCGGAAUUACUGGGCGUAAAGCGUGCGCAGGCGGCUUCUCAAGUCAGGGGUGAAAGCCCAGAGCUCAACUCUGGAAUUGCCUUUGGGACUGAGUGGCUUGAGUACGAGAGAGGUGAGUGGAAUUCCCAGUGUAGAGGUGAAAUUCGUAGAUAUUGGGAAGAACACCGGUGGCGAAGGCGGCUCACUGGCUCGUAACUGACGCUCAUGCACGACAGCGUGGGGAUCAAACAGG